UUUUCCCCUUAUUCGUUUAGCAAAAAUGCAAUUUUUUUCCUACAUGCAGUAGUUGUGACAAAAAUAGACAAAUAAAAAUAGUUAUAGACCUUGCCUAUAGGUAUUUACAAGGACAUUGAAGGGAUUAUUAGCUGUACAGCUAACUAAAAUUUGCUACGGAAUGUAACAAUGGCUGCAUUUGACCAUAAUGUCCACGUAUGUGAAUACAUUUUAAUCAAAUAUUUCUAAAAUAAAGGUAUUUAAAACUGCUAAA